CUAGGGUUGCUCUUUUAAGGGUGGGAGUGUUACGGAUACAAGCAUCCUGUGUGUGUAUCCUGUGUGUGUGUUUCUUUUCUCUCCUUCUCCCCUCACAGGUGAAAAUCAUCACUCCCCAAUCAGUCACCAAUCCAAACAUCAAUCAGAAGACACACCUCCUCCUGUUUCCUACCCAAUCACUGUUCCUUUCCCUUUGUUUAAUCACCCUGUCAGUUGUUUGCUGUAGAGCUCAAUCUCUCUGUAAAUGCCAUACCUGUAGAUCUCUCUGUUUCACUCUCUUUAUGUAUUGAGCUAUCUUUUGUUUGAGCACGUCCAUAGCACUUUGUCAUCACCGUCCUAGCAUAUCCCUCUGAAUCCUGGAGAGUAGAGAAGAACAGCUCCCACCAGUUCAGCUUCUGUAAUGGUUGUCGUCGGGAGAAAGAGAGGACCAAGAUGCAGCGUAGUGUUAAUGGUCAGACACUGACUGAGUCUGGACCAGUAGUUAAUACGCCUGGAGAAUCCCACAAACUGACCUGUACAGCCUCUGGGUUCACAUUCAGUAGAUAUGAGAUGAGCUGGAUCAGAGAUGCUCCUGGGAAAGGACUGGAGUGUCCACUGUAAGGUCGUACUCACACAGGCUGAACAGUCCAGGGGAGCCCCAGGGGAUCCCUCAAACUCACAUGUGCCUGUAGUGGAUUCACUCUAAGCAGCACUAAUAUGUACUGGAUCCGCCAAGCAACUGGAAAAGGACUUGAAUGGAUCAUUAACUAUUAUUCUGACACUAACGAGCAAUGCCCCGGAUGUAAAGGGUUGAUUAACUGCAUUGAAGGACAGCUCUAAUUUCUAUCUGCACAUGAGCCAGUUGAAGUCAGAGGACUCUGCAGUGUAUUACUGUGCUAGAGACUCACUAUGGUUAAUCUAAUGAGAAUAGCCAGACAAAAACCAUCUGGUAGAGAAAGGAAAGAUGUGUACAAACACACAGACACAUGUAUAGUAUGACCAGUAGACCCUGACAAGGGGAAACAUGAUGAACAAUUCUAAUGAUGUAUCAAAUAAUAACACAAUGAUACACCAGUUAAAUACAUGGUGCUGGUGUUGUUGAUGCACCAACAGGGGCCCCUCUCUCUCUCUCCAUAUGAUUAAAAUAAAGACCGGUACUGAUGAAGACUUAAUGUAUUACAAGAAAAAAGUAUAAAAUGGACGUUGAUUCAAAGUACUUUUGUUUGUCAAAGUGAAAGUAGUGUCUUAAAUAUGUUUCAUCCACCACAAGUAUGAACUUAGGCUGUAAAUAGUGUUUCAUUCAGUUAUCUUUUACAUUAAAAAUAUCAUCUAAAGAGGGUCUCUGAGUUUUCAGAUUUCAAUCGUUGUGUCCAGUAAUAGUGGUAGAAACAUCUCUAGGAUGAACAUUGGAAACAGAAUGCAGCUGAUCUCAAUUUUGAGUCUCAUAGAAAAGGGUCUGAAU